UGUCACUGUAUUCUUGAAUGAUUAGACAUCGAUUUAAAUUGGCUUCAAAUUUUGAAAUAUUUAUUAGGUGAUUGUCAAUUGCAAAAAGUGUAUCCUUUUAUUAACGCAUUGGAUAAGAGUAUUAUUAUCUAUCCUUACAGGAAAGUGAACAAAAAAGAAAAAAAAAGAAAAUUUAUACAAAAAGCAAAAAAAAAAAAGUACAUGGUUAAGAAAUGAGCCUUGUGUACAACAUAAAGUCCCUACAUAUUUUUGACAAAUCUCAUUGCAAAGGAUUAUCGCUUAUGUUGCUUUCCAACAUAUUGAAGACGCAGUUGAUUUCUUCACUAAC
rnacentral:lncRNA from 1 species